UGCUUAACCAUGCAAGUCGAACGAUGAACCGCUUUCGGGCGGGGAUUAGUGGCGAACGGGUGAGUAACACGUGGGCAAUCUGCCCUGCACUCUGGGACAAGCCCUGGAAACGGGGUCUAAUACCGGAUAUGACCGUCUGCCGCAUGGUGGAUGGUGUAAAGCUCCGGCGGUGCAGGAUGAGCCCGCGGCCUAUCAGCUUGUUGGUGAGGUAGUGGCUCACCAAGGCGACGACGGGUAGCCGGCCUGAGAGGGCGACCGGCCACACUGGGACUGAGACACGGCCCAGACUCCUACGGGAGGCAGCAGUGGGGAAUAUUGCACAAUGGGCGAAAGCCUGAUGCAGCGACGCCGCGUGAGGGAUGACGGCCUUCGGGUUGUAAACCUCUUUCAGCAGGGAAGAAGCGAAAGUGACGGUACCUGCAGAAGAAGCGCCGGCUAACUACGUGCCAGCAGCCGCGGUAAUACGUAGGGCGCAAGCGUUGUCCGGAAUUAUUGGGCGUAAAGAGCUCGUAGGCGGCUUGUCACGUCGGUUGUGAAAGCCCGGGGCUUAACCCCGGGUCUGCAGUCGAUACGGGCAGGCUAGAGUUCGGUAGGGGAGAUCGGAAUUCCUGGUGUAGCGGUGAAAUGCGCAGAUAUCAGGAGGAACACCGGUGGCGAAGGCGGAUCUCUGGGCCGAUACUGACGCUGAGGAGCGAAAGCGUGGGGAGCGAACAGGAUUAGAUACCCUGGUAGUCCACGCCGUAAACGGUGGGCACUAGGUGUGGGCAACAUUCCACGUUGUCCGUGCCGCAGCUA
rnacentral:rRNA from 1 species